rnacentral:rRNA from 1 species
CGGGGGACAGGGUGACAGGUGGUGCAUGGUUGUCGUCAGCUCGUGUCGUGAGAUGUUGGGUUAAGUCCCGUAACGAGCGCAACCCUUGUCCUUAGUUACCAGCACGUUAAGGUGGGCACUCUAAGGAGACUGCCGGUGACAAACCGGAGGAAGGUGGGGAUGACGUCAAGUCAUCAUGGCCCUUACGGCCUGGGCUACACACGUGCUACAAUGGUCGGUACAAAGGGUUGCCAAGCCGCGAGGUGGAGCUAAUCCCAUAAACCGAUCGUAGUCCGGAUCGCAGUCUGCAACUCGACUGCGUGAAGUCGGAAUCGCUAGUAAUCGUGAAUCAGAAUGUCACGGUGAAUACGUUCCCGGGCCUU